CCUACGGGAGGCAGCAGUGGGGAAUAUUGGGCAAUGGGCGCAAGCCUGACCCAGCAACGCCGCGUGAAGGAAGAAGGCUUUCGGGUUGUAAACUUCUUUUCUCAGGGACGAAGAAAGUGACGGUACCUGAGGAAUAAGCCACGGCUAACUACGUGCCAGCAGCCGCGGUAAUACGUAGGUGGCAAGCGUUAUCCGGAUUUAUUGGGUGUAAAGGGCGUGUAGGCGGGAGCGCAAGUCAGACGUGAAAACUCAGGGCUCAACCCUGAGCCUGCAUUUGAAACUGUGUUUCUUGAGUGCUGGGGAGGCAAUCGGAAUUCGGGGUGUAGCGGUGAAAUGCGUAGAUAUACGGAGGAACACCGGUGGCGAAGGCGGAUUGCUGGACAGUAACUGACGCUGAGGCGCGAAAGCGUGGGGAGCAAACAGGAUUAGAUACCCCAGUAGUC
rnacentral:rRNA from 1 species